rnacentral:misc_RNA from 1 species
UUGAAAUUGGGCGGAGGAGAAAAUGAAGAAGAAGAAGAGGAAGAAAGCCCUAGGUUUUCAUUUUCUUUAGUCCCCACGGAAGUUGAAGUUGAAGUUGAAGAACUCUCAGAUGGCCUUGAGGUCGCUCGAAUAGAAAUGGAGGCUUUGGGGGUUUUAGUGCUCGGAAGUUGUCUUAAAAACGGAGUUGAUGACAAAUUCAGAGCUCCCGCCAUUUUCCCCCUCCGGAUUCCGAUCAGCGGCUUGUCUCUGGCAGCUGAAAA